GUAGCGGUGCCCUGUACCUGCAAUCCGCUAUAGCAGGACGGAAUCCCCGCUUUGAGGCCCACCCUUGUGAGGUCUGGCUCCGGUAAGUGGUGUUGACGGCUGGGUCCCACGCAACGUGUAGACGCCGAAUCCCGUCAGGUCCGGGAGGAAGCAGCGGUAAGCGUUGAAGCGUGUGCCGUGGGGUAGCCUGACCCGAGUUAACUGCCGGAGUAACGCUCGGAAGGUGUGUGGUCGACGGUGGGUGCACGA
rnacentral:SRP_RNA from 1 species